rnacentral:rRNA from 1 species
CCGAGUCUUAACCGGGCGUUAAGUUGCAGGGUAUAGACCCGAAACCCGGUGAUCUAGCCAUGGGCAGGUUGAAGGUUGGGUAACACUAACUGGAGGACCGAACCGACUAAUGUUGAAAAAUUAGCGGAUGACCUGUGGCUGGGGGUGAAAGGCCAAUCAAACCGGGAGAUAGCUGGUUCUCCCCGAAAGCUAUUUAGGUAGCGCCUCGUGAAUUCAUCUCCGGGGGUAGAGCACUGUUUCGGCUAGGGGGCCAUCCCGGCUUACCAACCCGAUGCAAACUGCGAAUACCGGAGAAUGUUAUCACGGGAGACACACGGCGGGUGCUAACGUCCGUCGUGAAGAGGGAAACAACCCAGACCGCCAGCUAAGGUCCCAAAGUCAUGGUUAAGUGGGAAACGAUGUGGGAAGGCCCAGACAGCCAGGAUGUUGGCUUAGAAGCAGCCAUCAUUUAAAGAAAGCGUAAUAGCUCACUGGUCGAGUCGGCCUGCGCGGAAGAUGUAACGGGGCUAAACCAUGCACCGAAGCUGCGGCAGCGACGCUGAUGCGUUGUUGGGUAGGGGAGCGUUCUGUAAGCCUGCGAAGGUGUGUCGUGAGGCAUGCUGGAGGUAUCAGAAGUGCGAAUGCUGACAUAAGUAACGAUAAAGCGGGUGAAAAGCCCGCUCGCCGGAAGACCAAGGGUUCCUGUCCAACGUUAAUCGGGGCAGGGUGAGUCGACCCCUAAGGCGAGGCCGAAAGGCGUAGUCGAUGGGAAACGGGUUAAUAUUCCCGUACUUGGUGUUACUGCGAAGGGGGGACGGAGAAGGCUAUGUUGGCCGGGCGACGGUUGUCCCGGUUUAAGCGUGUAGGUGUGUGUUCCAGGUAAAUCCGGUUCACUUUAACACUGAGGCGUGAUGACGAGGCACUACGGUGCUGAAGCAACAAAUGCCCUGCUUCCAGGAAAAGCCUCUAAGCAUCAGGUAACAUCAAAUCGUACCCCAAACCGACACAGGUGGUCAGGUAGAGAAUACCAAGGCGCUUGAGAGAACUCGGGUGAAGGAACUAGGCAAAAUGGUGCCGUAACUUCGGGAGAAGGCACGCUGACACGUAGGUGAAGUGAUUUACUCAUGGAGCUGAAGUCAGUCGAAGAUACCAGCUGGCUGCAACUGUUUAUUAAAAACACAGCACUGUGCAAACACGAAAGUGGACGUAUACGGUGUGACGCCUGCCCGGUGCCGGAAGGUUAAUUGAUGGGGUCAGCGCAAGCGAAGCUCCUGAUCGAAGCCCCGGUAAACGGCGGCCGUAACUAUAACGGUCCUAAGGUAGCGAAAUUCCUUGUCGGGUAAGUUCCGACCUGCACGAAUGGCGUAAUGAUGGCCAGGCUGUCUCCACCCGAGACUCAGUGAAAUUGAACUCGCUGUGAAGAUGCAGUGUACCCGCGGCAAGACGGAAAGACCCCGUGAACCUUUACUAUAGCUUGACACUGAACAUUGAGCCUUGAUGUGUAGGAUAGGUGGGAGGCUUUGAAGUGUGGACGCCAGUCUGCAUGGAGCCGGCCUUGAAAUACCACCCUUUAAUGUUUGAUGUUCUAACGUGGACCCGUGAUCCGGGUUGCGGACAGUGUCUGGUGGGUAGUUUGACUGGGGCGGUCUCCUCCUAAAGAGUAACGGAGGAGCACGAAGGUUGGCUAAUCCUGGUCGGACAUCAGGAGGUUAGUGCAAUGGCAUAAGCCAGCUUGACUGCGAGCGUGACGGCGCGAGCAGGUGCGAAAGCAGGUCAUAGUGAUCCGGUGGUUCUGAAUGGAAGGGCCAUCGCUCAACGGAUAAAAGGUACUCCGGGGAUAACAGGCUGAUACCGCCCAAGAGUUCAUAUCGACGGCGGUGUUUGGCACCUCGAUGUCGGCUCAUCACAUCCUGGGGCUGAAGUAGGUCCCAAGGGUAUGGCUGUUCGCCAUUUAAAGUGGUACGCGAGCUGGGUUUAGAACGUCGUGAGACAGUUCGGUCCCUAUCUGCCGUGGGCGCUGGAGAACUGAGGGGGGCUGCUCCUAGUACGAGAGGACCGGAGUGGACGCAUCACUGGUGUUCGGGUUGUCAUGCCAAUGGCACUGCCCGGUAGCUAAAUGCGGAAGAGAUAAGUGCUGAAAGCAUCUAAGCACGAAACUUGCCCCGAGAUGAGUUCUCCCUGAGACUUAGAGUCUCCUGAAGGAACGUUGAAGACGACGACGUUGAUAGGCCGGGUGUGUAAGCGCAGCGAUGCGUUGAGCUAACCGGUACUAAUGAACCGUGAGGCUUAACCUU